GGGCCCGUAGCUCAGCUGGAUAGAGCGAAAGCUUCCUAAGCUUUAGGUCGGGCGUUCGAUGGAUCCGGUUCCGAUACCUCCUCUGAAGAAAAUCGCCUCGGGUCCG
rnacentral:tRNA from 1 species